rnacentral:lncRNA from 1 species
UUUGUGAGAUCUUGCACUACAAACUGCAGCCAAGGGGAUCCCGAAUGGGCAAGACUUGAUCCUCAUACUGGUGAAACCUCCUGAGUCCCCAGGGACCCUGUCAGACCAGGCUCCAGCCUCCCUGCGGUCUCUGAGAGAGAAUGUGGCUAGUUCUGCCCCACGGCUCCCUGGCAGUCCAGCGGUCAGAAGUGGCCACGCAGAACCCAACAUUCAGCCUGGGUGCAGACACUGCCUCUAGCCUCCUCCCCAAGCACUCUCCUAGUAUGGCAAAACAGCCCUUGAGAGAUUGCAGAAAGCCAUCAACCUUGAAGAUAACAGGAGCCCUCCCAAGGAAAUGUGUUCAGGAGACCUUCUAAGACCAUGCCAUUUCCUGGGUCCCUCUCCCAGUGGGGAAAUUCUCCCAGUAGCAGAUUCUGGCAGACAGCAGAGACACACUCUAUGCCCAACACUAGGCACCGGAUGGAUGAGAUAAUCAUAAAUCCACAAACUGCAACAAGAUAAAAUUAUCAUUAGAUGAAGUUAAAUUAUUAAUUAGCACCUCCAAAAAAAGACCGGCACCACCUGGGCUUGAAUCUUGGAAGCUGUCUUUCUGAAAGCAAGAGAAACAUCAAAAUAGUUUAUCGAUGCUCUGUGGUGUGGGUAUAGCCUAUGGUUCCCAGAAGCCUGAUGGUCAGAGGUCCCACCAGGCAGGCCUGCCCCGCCUGCCCUCUUCUUGCAGUGUUGCCAGAAAUAGCCAGUUUGGAUAAUGUUACUAGGGAAAGGGAAGCAACUAAUGUGACCCAUUUUUAUGACUGGAGAAACUGAGGCAAAGGACGAGGCAGAAAGGCC